rnacentral:rRNA from 1 species
UACGUAGGGGGCAAGCGUUGUCCGGAAUCAUUGGGCGUAAAGCGCGUGUAGGCGGCUCGAUAAGUCUGCUGUGAAAGUCCAGGGCUCAACCCUGGAAUGCCGGUGGAAACUGUCGAGCUAGAGUCCGGAAGAGGCGAGUGGAAUUCCUGGUGUAGCGGUGAAAUGCGCAGAUAUCAGGAGGAACACCAAUGGCGAAGGCAGCUCGCUGGGACGGUACUGACGCUGAGACGCGAAAGCGUGGGGAGCAAACAGG